rnacentral:rRNA from 1 species
CCUGGCUCAGGAUGAACGCUAGCUACAGGCUUAACACAUGCAAGUCGAGGGGCAGCAUUGGGAUAGCUUGCUAUUCCAGAUGGCGACCGGCGCACGGGUGAGUAACGCGUAUCCAACCUUCCCUAUAGUAGAGAAUAGCCCGGCGAAAGUCGGAUUAAUGCUCUAUGUUGUGUUUUGAGGACAUCUGACGAACACCAAAGGUUCACCGCUAUAGGAUGGGGAUGCGUCUGAUUAGCUUGUUGGCGGGGUAACGGCCCACCAAGGCGACGAUCAGUAGGGGUUCUGAGAGGAAGGUCCCCCACAUUGGUACUGAGACACGGACCAAACUCCUACGGGAGGCAGCAGUGAGGAAUAUUGGUCAAUGGGCGAGAGCCUGAACCAGCCAAGUGGCGUGCAGGAUGACUGCCCUAUGGGUUGUAAACUGCUUUUAUCAGGGAAUAAAGUGCGGCACGUGUGCCGUUUUGUAUGUACCUGAUGAAUAAGGACCGGCUAAUUCCGUGCCAGCCGCUGC